AACGUUCAACCUUUUAGGUCGGAAGUAGGUAUGACACCGAAGGAACGCAUC
ncrna:unclassified sequences Glutamine riboswitch